rnacentral:lncRNA from 1 species
ACACAUUUCACAAUUAAUCCUCCAAUACCCUUUUUCUCUCUCUUUCUCUCUAAUCCCAAUUCGUGACAAAUGGAUGCUGAAUUGAACCAUCCAACAAUCCUAAAAUCCAGCGGCAUAACUCUUUAUUUGCAAGGUGCCAAUGUUACUAACAACUCCAUUUCUAAAUACUGAGUGAAAACAAUCAACCUUUGACAUGUGAGGACAUGGACAGAUCUUAAACCUGCUUUAAUCUGGCUGCUGAUGUGAUUUUUCUUCCUGGGUUUCCCUUGCACCCAGGUAUGUUGCAUUGAUUAUCUCGGUGGGUUGGGAUCUUUGUGUUUAUAAUCUGUUGAGUUCCUUGAAUUGUUUUUAUUGAUGUAAGGGCCCUUCUGCUCUGGUUGAAGUUUUUUUCUGGAUUCUUGGUAUUCUUUAUUUUGAGUUUUGAUGCUUUAUAUAUGUAUUUCUUGAUUUUCUUCUCUUUCCGUCGCAUCAUGGUAAUUGAAGCCAUAGGAUUAGCAAGCAGAUCAUUGAUCUUGUGAUUUCCCAACAAAUUUCGUUUUAGAUAAGAGAAUCAGAGAGUAGAAGUCAAUGUUAUAUUUUAGCGUCAUAAAAUUUUGACCCCCUCAAAUAUUCUAUUUGUUACUAGUUGCCUAGUUUUUCUUAACAACCAGAUCUCUGAAUUCAUGGAACAAUUUAUACGACUACUUAAACGUCAGAUGGGGUGACGAACUCUCCAUCUUUGAUGGCUUAAUUUUCUUAUGUAGUAAGGACAAUGUUCUGUUCCCUCAAGCUGUGGGUAUGGGGGUAUUCAAGCGAUGAAUAUAUUAUGAGAUGGUUCAAAGAUUUUUCUUGAAGCUACUCACUUGAAGCUUUUUCUUGAUUUGGCAUAAUUUGCAGUUGAAUACCUUUUGAAUACCAUUUGAGCAAGUGUCUUGUUUACUAACAGUAGCAACAAAUUGCCAGUCUUUUUUUGGUCUAAGGUCUUUCUGUUUCUAGUAGCUACGUCGGGUUAGACUCAAACUGGAUUGGAUCCCAAUCAGCGAAAAACUCCACGAAACUUGAAACUGUGACCUUAGCACCAAUUCUACCUUCCGUAAGAGUGAGUUCUUAUUCUUUAGAUUUCACUGAAAUGCUAGGAUUCAACCAGUCUUUCUUUAUAUUGCCACUUUAACUAGGAACCUUUUGAAUGAAGUUGUAGCUUAAGAUUUGAUAGCCACUUUAUCCUUUCUUUUUCAGAGAAACAGUGAAGCCAUUACAGUACCUUGAAUCUGAUAUCUUCUUGAUGGUUUACUAGUAUAGAAGCUUGCAUCUGUUCUGAACAAGCUGAAGUUAGCCAAUUGGCAAUAGACUCGAACCGCCAAAUUGGCACAUUGAAGUUCCAUCUUCGGGAACUCCUCAGCGAACUGCUUACUGUGGCCAUGCAUUCUCGGUCCCUCCAAACCCAAAACAAUACCAUUUGUCAUGCAUCUACUUGUGAUCUAUUUUAUCAGACUUAAAUUGAAUAAUUUAUACUCAUGAAAUGUCGAAUUACUUGGUUGCAGAUGCAAAUAUGUCAAUCAUCUUAUUGUGCCUGUGGCUUGCAGGAAUAACAUAUGUUGUUGGAGACUGCAAUAUUAAAGAAGGUACGGAAAGCUUGGUUUCAACAAAUACAUGAAAUCAAAACUUUUACAUUGAAGAAUGCCAUGAAUAGUUUUACAUUCCAGUUCAAGUUCCCAACAACCACACCCUUUC